rnacentral:misc_RNA from 1 species
CCACCCUGGGCGUGGAGGUG